rnacentral:rRNA from 1 species
AGGACGAACGCUGGCGGCGUGCUUAACACAUGCAAGUCGAACGGAAAGCGCUCUUCGGAGUGACUCGAGUGGCGAACGGGUGAGUAACACGUGGGUGAUCUGCCCUGCACUUCGGGAUAAGCCUGGGAAACUGGGUCUAAUACCGGAUAGGACUACGAAUCGCAUGGUUUGUGGUGGAAAGCUUUUGCGGUGUGGGAUGGGCCCGCGGCCUAUCAGCUUGUUGGUGGGGUGAUGGCCUACCAAGGCGACGACGGGUAGCCGGCCUGAGAGGGUGUCCGGCCACACUGGGACUGAGAUACGGCCCAGACUCCUACGGGAGGCAGCAGUGGGGGAAUAUUGCACAAUGGGCGCAAGCCUGAUGCAGCGACGCCGCGUGAGGGAUGACGGCCUUCGGGUUGUAAACCUCUUUCAAUGGGACGAAGCGCAAGUGACGGUACCUAGAGAAGAAGCACCGGCCAACUACGUGCCAGCAGCCGC